rnacentral:rRNA from 1 species
UACGUAGGACCCAAGCGUUAUCCGGAUUCACUGGGUGUAAAGGGUGUGUAGGCGGGCGUGCGCGUUCGGGGUGAAAGGUUCCGGCUCAACCGGAAAUAUGCCCCGGAUACGGCACGUCUUGAGUGCGGGAGAGGACGGUGGAAUUCCUGGUGUAGCGGUGAAAUGCGUAGAUAUCAGGAGGAACACCAGUGGCGAAGGCGGCCGUCUGGCCCGCAACUGACGCUGAAACACGAAAGCGUGGGGAUCAAACAGG